CCCGCUGAGUUUAAGCAUAUCAAUAAGCGGAGGAAAAGAAACUUACCAGGAUUCCCCUAGUAACGGCGAGCGAACCGGGAAAAGCCCAGCUUGAGAAUCGGGCGCCACCGGCGUUCGAAUUGUAGUCUGGAGAAGCGUCCUCAGCGGCGGACCGGGCCCAAGUCCCCUGGAAAGGGGCGCCGGAGAGGGUGAGAGCCCCGUCGUGCCCGGACCCUGUCGCACCAUGAGGUGCUGUCUACGAGUCGGGUUGUUUGGGAAUGCAGCCCUAAUCGGGCGGUAAAUUCCGUCCAAGGCUAAAUACGGGCGAGAGACCGAUAGCGAACAAGUACCGCGAGGGAAAGAUGAAAAGGACAUCUGACCAGGGACGCCUAUUAUGAUAUGUCAACAUAAUUGCCAAGGUCAGAUCAAGUUAUCUAGCAAUUAGCAACAAAAUAAAUUCCCACCUUUAACAAAAACCAAAUGAAAUUUCAAGUCUUGAAAUAUAU
rnacentral:ncRNA from 1 species